CAACGAGCUAGAAAGAGAGAGAGGGGGGAAAAAAGCCACUUACAGGGACUGAUGUGCAACUAAUUAAAGGCAGACAGGCUGGUAGCGUCUGCACACUCAAGCCCCCCCAAAUAAAGAGCCUGCUGCGGCAGCUCCCGUGAGGAUGCCGGAGGAGCGGCUGCCCGGCCAAGCACCGACCGCGGGGAUGCGUCCGGAGGAGGAGGAUUAAGCGACCCC